rnacentral:lncRNA from 1 species
ACAACCAAAGCCAGUUCCAGAAGGUAAAAUAGACAUAAAAUAUAGAGAUGUAAGAACUGAGUCUACCUUUUUGAUAGCCAGGUCUUCUGAUGUUUUCCUCGGAUUCCCGUUCAACCUCUCAAACACAGACAGAUCCCCCAGCCGCUCGCGUUGGAGCCUUUCACCCUCUACAAAUCGCAAAACCAAAAAUCAUAUAAAGGAUACAUAUUAAGAUACGGUAAAGGCUAAAAAUCCCUUAGCUGCUUUACAAUUUCAUUGCUAACUCUGUUUUUGGAUUCAUCUUCACUACCUCUUCCUCACAGAAACUUCUACACACAAAAACACGCAUGAACAUGCACACAAGCAGAUAAAGGUUUAAAUACGAACAUGCAUACUCCUUUUGCAAUCUUGGGCAGAAAGAGAAGACCUAGAGUGAGAUAACUACUAUCUGGAGCAUAGUAAAUGAAAUCAAACCCAAACAGACUACUUCAAUCACCGAAGCUGACUCACUAAAGUUUAGCCAAUAACAGAAGUGACUCGCCAAUAGUUCAUCGUGGUAAGCCAUAUUAACACAAUACUCACAUCCACAAUUGACGAUUUCUUUGAACCAGCCAUAAAAUAACUCACCUCUAAUUCUCCCUUUUACUCAGCAACCAAACAACAGAUGUAAAAAUUGAAAAAGAAAAUUACAAAGUAGAUUAUAAGGCAAGUGAAUGCCCGUACCUGGGCACAUAAAGGGGCAGGUUCCAACUAUACAAGAAACACAAGUUGAUUUUUUUUCUUCUACUAGUAUAUCUGGUUUUUGUUUGAAUCCAGGUUUCCGUUCAGAGAUUGAAUCGGAAAUGCCUGAAAAGCGAGCGGCGUUGACAGGUCUGGUAGAAGGGGUAAAGCUUGAAUUCCCGGUGAUCUCCGAUGGAACUGAUGAGGUCCUGCGAUAACUUGUUG